rnacentral:rRNA from 1 species
UGUAGCAAUACAAGGCAGACGGCUCAGUAACGCGUAGUCAACCUACCCUAUGGACGGGGAUAACCUCGGGAAACUGAGAAUAAUACCCGAUAGAACAUUAUACCUGGAAUGGUUUAUGUUUCAAAUAAUUUAUUGCCGUAGGAUGGGACUGCGGCCUAUCAGUUUGUUGGUGAGGUAAUGGCCCACCAAGACUAUUACAGGUACGGGCUCUGAGAGGAGUAGCCCGGAGAUGGGUACUGAGACACGGACCCAGGCCCCUAUGGGGCGCAGCAGGCGAGAAAACUUUGCAAUGUGCGAAAGCACGACAAGGUUAAUCCGAGUGGUUUCUGCUAAAGGAACCUUUUGUUAGUCAUAGAACCACUAAUGAAUAAGGGGUGGGCAAGUUCUGGUGUCAGCCGCCGCGGUAAAACCAGCACCUCAAGUGGUCAGGAUGAUUAUUGGGCCUAAAGCAUCCGUAGCCUGCUUUGUUAGUUUUCGGUUAAAUCCAUACGCUCAACGUAUGGGCUGCCGGGAAUACUGCAAAGCUAGGGAGUGGGAGAGGUAGACGGUACUCGGUAGGAAGGGGUAAAAUCCUUUGAUCUAUUGAUGACCACCUGUGGCGAAGGCGGUCUACCAGAACACGUCCGACGGUGAGGGAUGAAAGCUGGGGGAGCAAACCGGAUUAGAUACCCGGGUAGUCCCAGCUGUAAACUAUGCAAACUCGGUGAUGCAUUGGCUUGAUGCCAAUGCAGUGCCGCAGGGAAGCCGUUAAGUUUGCCGCCUGGGAAGUGCGUACGCAAGUAUGAAGCUUAAAGGAAUUGGCGGGGGAGCACCACAAGGGGU